rnacentral:rRNA from 1 species
AAUGAACGCUGGCGGCGUGCCUAACACAUGCAAGUCGAGCGAGAAAGUCUCUUCGGAGAUAAGUACAGCGGCGGACGGGUGAGUAACGCGUGAGAAUUUACCCUUUAGUGAAGAAUACCUCUGAGAAAUCAGGGUUAAUACUGCAUACGUCCCUACGGGGAGAAAGGUGGCCUCUUUGCUGCCGCUAAAGGAUAAGCUUGCGUACUAUUAGCUAGUUGGUGAGGUAAAGGCUCACCAAGGCGAUGAUGGUUAGCCGGCCUGAGAGGGUGUACGGCCACACUGGAACUUAGACACGGUCCAGACUCCUACGGGAGGCAGCAGUGAGGAAUAUUGCGCAAUGGGCGAAAGCCUGACGCAGCGACGCCGCGUGGAGGAUGAAGGUCUUCGGAUUGUAAACUCCUGUUAAGUGGGAAGAAAGACCUAUUUCUAAUACAGAUAGGGGAUGACGGUACCAUUAGAGAAAGCACCGGCUAACUUCGUGCCAGCAGCCGCGGUAAU